rnacentral:rRNA from 1 species
CAAUAGCGUAUAUUUAAGUUGUUGCAGUUAAAAAGCUCGUAGUUGGAUUUCGGUUAAGAGCGACCGGUCCGCCGUUUGGUGUGCACUGGUUGGUUUUAACUUCCUGUAGAGGACGUGCUCUGGGUUUAACGACCUGGACUCGGAGUCUACGUGGUUACUUUGAAAAAAUUAGAGUGUUCAAAGCGGGCUUACGCUUGAAUAUUUCAGCAUGGAAUAACACUAUAGGACUCCUGUCCUAUUUCGUUGGUCUCGGGACGGGAGUAAUGAUUAAGAGGAACAGUUGGGGGCAUUCGUAUUUCAUUGUCAGAGGUGAGAUUCUUGGAUUUAUGAAAGACGAACUUCUGCGAAAGCAUUUGCCAAGGAUGUUUUCAUUAA